UACGUAGGGGGCUAGCGUUGUCCGGAAUCAUUGGGCGUAAAGCGCGCGUAGGCGGCCCGGUAAGUCCGCUGUGAAAGUCAAAGGCUCAACCUUUGAAUGUCAGCGGAUACUGCCGGGCUAGAGUCCGGAAGAGGCGAGUGGAAUUCCUGGUGUAGCGGUGGAAUGCGCAGAUAUCAGGAGGAACACCAACGGCGAAAGCAGCUUUCUGGGACGGUACUGACGCUGAGACGCGAAAGCGUGGGGAGCGAACAGG
rnacentral:rRNA from 1 species